GACGAACGCUGGCGGCGUGCUUAACACAUGCAAGUCGAACGGAAAGGCCCUGCUUUUGUGGGGUGCUCGAGUGGCGAACGGGUGAGUAACACGUGAGUAACCUGCCCUUGACUUUGGGAUAACUUCAGGAAACUGGGGCUAAUACCGGAUAGGAGCUCCUGCUGCAUGGUGGGGGUUGGAAAGUUUCGGCGGUUGGGGAUGGACUCGCGGCUUAUCAGCUUGUUGGUGGGGUAGUGGCUUACCAAGGCUUUGACGGGUAGCCGGCCUGAGAGGGUGACCGGCCACAUGGGGACUGAGAGACGGCCCAGACUCCGACGGGAGGCAGCAGUGGGGAAUAUUGAACAAUGGGCGGAAGACUGAUGCAGCAACGCCGGGUGGGGGAUGACGGCCUUCGGGGUGUAAACCGAUUUCGCCUGUGACGAAGCGUGAGUGACGGUAAUGGGUAAAGAAGCACCGGCUAACUACGUG
rnacentral:rRNA from 1 species